rnacentral:lncRNA from 1 species
GCGGCUCGGGCCGGGCCUGCGCCGCCGCAGCCGCCGUCGCUGGGCCCCGGCGGCCGCCGGCACUCACCCGCGUCUCCCGGGUGCCCCCAAGGCUCCGGCGACGUGUCCGCUUGCUCGCUGGGCCCGGGCCCCGAGAAACCCCGUCCCGCCAAGGUCUGGCUGCGUCCCUCAGCCGCCCGGGCUGCCCCGCCUGGAGCUGCGUGCGACACGGCGCCCGCCUCCGCCUCCUCCCCUGCCCGCCCGCCGGCCCUCCUCCCGCCGCCGCCGCCGCCGCCGCCGCCGCCUGCACCACGCAACCUCCGCCCUCUCGCCUUUCCUGCGCGGCUCCCCGCCCUCCCGGCCUCACCGGCUCCGGCGACCGCGGGAGAGGCCGUGGGGGAGGGCCGGAACGCACCGCCAUCGGCGUCCGGGGAGGGGGAGCCGGGAAACCGCCGCCGCCAUCGCCCCGCUCGCCCGAGGCGCGGGAGGGGCCCGGAAACCGCCCGCCCGCCCGCCGGCUGGCCCUCGGCGGCGGCCCCGCUCGUGGGGCGCUGCCUACCUGCGAGCCGCGGCCCCUGCCCGGGCGCCCGGCCGUCCCGCGCGGCGCGCCGGAUCCGCCGCCGGGUUUUGCAGCUGCCCCCACCGCCGGGCCACCUCUGGAGGCCGGGUUCCCGCCACUUCGGACCUCUCGAUUGGGCUGACCUUGGGCGGGGGGCUCCGGGUCCGGGAGAAACUUCCCGAAGGAGAGGGACUUCCGCCGCCCCUGCGCGCACACAGCCCGAGCUGGCAAGGGACGCAGCUGCACCCAGCCAUGUGCCUCCGCUCCGGGCGACAGACCCCGGCCGAGCCGAGGAAGCCCGAGACGCGCAGAAAGGGGCCAGGCUCCGAGAGCCGCGCCGGGCCCUGACCCCGCACCUGCCCGCCGCCGGGCCGCCAGAGACCCGGGCUCACCUGCAAGUGUGUGUCCCGCCUUUUCUAACGCUUUCUCCAAAAGGACUGAACCAGGCUUCCCUCUCUCAACUCUUUAGCCGACUCAUUUUUGGCAAGUUUUAA